rnacentral:rRNA from 1 species
GUCGAACGCUGGCGGCGCGCUUAACACAUGCAAGUCGAACGAUGAAGCCAGAGCUUGCUCUGGUGAAUUAGUGGCGAACGGGUGAGUAACACGUGAGUAACCUGCCCUUGACUCUGGGAUAACUGCUAGAAAUGGUAGCUAAUACCGGAUACGACCCUCGGAGGCAUCUUCAGGGGGUGGAAAGAAUUUCGGUCAAGGAUGGACUCGCGGCCUAUCAGCUAGUUGGUGAGGUAAUGGCUCACCAAGGCGACGACGGGUAGCCGGCCUGGGAGGGUGACCGGCCACACUGGGACUGAGACACGGCCCAGACUCCUACGGGAGGCAGCAGUGGGGAAUAUUGCACAAUGGGCGCAAGCCUGAUGCAGCAACGCCGCGUGAGGGAUGACGGCCUUCGGGUUGUAAACCUCUUUUAGUAGGGAAGAAGCGAAAGUGACGGUACCUGCAGAAAAAGCACCGGCUAACUACGUGCCAGCCGCCGCCGUAA